GGUGAGAUGGCCGAGCGGUCUAAGGCGCUAGCUUAAGGCGCUAGUCCGAAAGGGCGUGGGUUCGAAUCCCACUCUCAUCA
rnacentral:tRNA from 1 species